rnacentral:ncRNA from 1 species
UUGUGUCGGCGACGGAUCUUUCAAAUGUCUGCCCUAUCAAUUUGUUGGUAGGUGAUCUGCCUACCAUGAUAAUAACGGGUAACGGGGAAUCAGGGUUCGAUUCCGGAGAGGGAGCCUGAGAAAUGGCUACCACAUCCAAGGACGGCAGCAGGCGCGAAAAUUACCCACUCCCGGCACGGGGAGGUAGUGACGAAAAAUACGAAUACGGGACUCAAUUGAGGCUCCGUAAUUCGAAUGAGUACAAUUUAAAUCCUUUAACGAGGACCAAUUGGAGGGCAAGUCUGGUGCCAGCAGCCGCGGUAACUCCAGCUCCAAAAGCGUAUAUUAAAGUUGCUGCAGUUAAAAAGCUCGUAGUUGAACCUGGGUUGUGCGGUCGCAUGCCGUUGCUUGUUCGCGGUUUUGGUUACGAUCAGAACUUGUGUUCGGCUCGGUGUAGUGGUUGUGCAGCCUUUCAGCCGUAUCUGUGUAAACGGGUGCUGACGGAGAUGGGUGAGUUCUUCUUGCCCGCUAUCUGUUGGCAUGCUUCCGGAUGCCUUUAACCGGGUGUCGGGAGCGGACGGCAUCUUUACUUUGAACAAAUUUGAGUGCUCAAGGCAGGCCUUUGUGCCUAGAAAUUCUUGCAUGGAAUAAUGAAAUAGGACUUCGGUUCUAUUUUGUUGGUUUUCGGAUCCGAAGUAAUGGUUAAGAGGGACAGACGGGGGCAUUUGUAUGGCGGUGUUAGAGGUGAAAUUCUGGGAUCAUCGCCAGACAAACUACAGCGAAAGCAUUUGCCAAGAAUGUUUUCAUUGAUCAGGAGCGAAAGUCAGAGUUUCGAAGACGAUCAGAUACCGUCGUAGUUCUGACCAUAAACGAUGCCAACUGACGAUCCGCGAUGGUUCUAUAAUUGACAUUGCGGGCAGUCCCCGGGAAACCUUUAAGUCUUUGGGCUCCGGGGGAAGUAUGGUUGCAAAGCUGAAACUUAAAGGAAUUGACGGAAGGGCACCACCAGGAGUGGAGCCUGCGGUUUAAUUCGACUCAACACGGGAAAACUCACCCGGCCCGGACACUGUGAGGAU